rnacentral:rRNA from 1 species
UACAGAGGUCUCAAGCGUUGUUCGGCUUCAUUGGGCGUAAAGGGUGUGUAGGUGGCGCCGUAAGUGGUGUGUGCAAUUUCGAGGCUUACCCUCGAAACUGCAUUCCAUACUGCGGUGCUUGAGGACUGGAGAGGAGACUGGAAUUUACGGUGUAGCAGUGAAAUGCGUAGAUAUCGUAAGGAAGACCAGUGGCGAAGGCGGGUCUCUGGACAGUUCCUGACACUGAGGCACGAAGGCCAGGGGAGCAAACGGG